rnacentral:tRNA from 1 species
GGCGCAGUAGUGUAGUGGUCAUCGUUCUUGACUUCCGUGCUAGAGGUCAGGGUUCAAUUCCCACUCGGUGCUG